AUAUCUUUUAGAGGAUCAUGGCUCCUAUUGCUCCGGCUCUCUAUAAAUAGAUUAUUGAGUCCUGAGAGUGUUGUGUAUCAAAUCAUAUAAAGGAAUAUAGAGAAUUAAAAUGCAUUCGUCUUCUAAGGUCAGCACCACACUUUGCAUGGCAACACUGUUCUUCUUCUUCUUAUUAUUCUUAACCAAUUUCACAUAUGCUUCAAGACCUGUCCCUGAAUCAUCUUCCCAACCACCUCCGGUUGUGGAGAAAUCAUUUAAUGUGGAGGAAUAUUGUGAGGGUGUUGCUAAUAAAGAUGAAUGCUUAAUGAGAAGAACACUUGAAGCUCACGUAGAUUAUAUCUAUACACAGAAGGCAAAUCCAUGAUAUAUAUAUCUCUGCAUCACACUUUUGUUGUAAUUUUAUGUAUAAGCUAUAGUUUUCAUCAUAUAUGCAUGUAUGCCACUUUUGAAGAGCUACUAUACUUCACUUUUCCUUUUCUUGUUUUGAUAUAGAAAGAUAUAUUGAUAAAUAUAUAGUAUUUGUAACCAACUAUGUAUGUAUAUAUAUUGAGUUUGGUAGAUAUAAAUUUUGGUUUGUACUUUUUUAAUGUUUU